rnacentral:lncRNA from 1 species
GUCAUCCUUGGGCUUGAAAAAGGAGUUUUAAGCAGUAUUAAGAGUAGAAGGAUAAUGAAUAUUUAAACACAUAAUUUUGCAAACCCCUGGAGAAUGAGAAGAAACUUAGAGGCGGACACACACAGAGUGUGGAGACGGCAAACGUUCUCCCCUCCUUGCCUUUAGUUUUAAAAGGAUCCAUGGGAUUGAACUAUUACUCAUUAGGGUCUGCCUCCCCAGCUUUCUGCUCCGCGCUGGAUGCUCAGUGUUUGUGUAGAAAGCAAACAUAUUGCACUGUGUAAUAAGAUUUGAAUGCAAACAUUUAAUUAACAUUAUCUGUUCAGAAGCAUUGUUUAAACAACAGUUAACCUUCCUGUGCCAAAGCUGAAUGAAGCUUUGAAACUGGAGGCUGGGUUUUCUGCUCUGGUGACCAGUGCCAUGGAUUGAUGUGCUGUUGAUACAACCGCUUUCUCAGGUUUCACGUGUGGAAGUCUGUGAUGGAGCAGUAACUUCAUUAAUUUGGCCCGUACUGAUUCAGUUGAAUGCUAAUAUUUUGACCUUAUUCCCUAGGAAAUAUUCCUCCUGCUGCACAGACUUGGAAAGCGUGGCCAUCCCUGCCUUCUGAGCCACAUUUAUGACAAACUUUCAGGAAGAUAAUAUUUCACACGUAAAUACGUGAGCGUUGGUUGUUAACACUUUCUGUAUUACCAGAAAAAGGUAGGAGUCUUCAUUGCCCUGCAGCUUUUGAGUGUUCCUCUGUAUUUUUCAGCACCCUGAGAUGUCCAGUUCUGCCUGCCCUCUAGGAGGGACAAGGAUGUGAGCCCUGUGUGCACCUGAUCUCACCUGGGCUUGACACAGUCAUGAACCCCACAGAAGAUGAAGGUGCAGAGCUGGACAGCCUCUGCUCUUUAUUAAUUUCCUUGGAUCCUUGGCACGAAGCCCUCAAUUCCUGUGAUGUAAUGGUAUAAAAAGUUGGCUCCUGACCGAGCUUCCACCCACAAGUUCUAAAUUUGGAGCACGGCAAAUUUCUGCAGAUUCCAGAGACAGGCUAUGCUCAAGACGUGCUGAUGCCUCCAGUCCCAUCCUAUUGCACCAAACAACAAGGUUGUGUCUUUUUAUAACGGGGAUCAUAAAUAUGACUCAGAUGCACAUGUUGUCUAUGUAAGCACUUGGGGCUGGCUAUCACUUUAUGGCACUGGGAAGAAGCCAAGCCAAAUAAAAAUUGUUUUGAGUAAAUAUUACA